rnacentral:rRNA from 1 species
UCGAGGGGUAACAAGUCUAGCUUGCUAGAUGUUGACGACCGGCGCACGGGUGCGCAACGCGUAUACAAUCUGCCCCCUACUGUGGGAUAGCCCAGAGAAAUUUGGAUUAAUACCACAUGGUACCAUAUUACGGCAUCGUAUUUAUGGUUAAAGGUUACGGUAGGGGAUGAGUAUGCGUCCCAUUAGUUAGUUGGCGAGGUAACGGCUCACCAAGACCGCGAUGGGUAGGGGCCCUGAGAGGGGGAUCCCCCACACUGGUACUGAGACACGGACCAGACUCCUACGGGAGGCAGCAGUGAGGAAUAUUGGACAAUGGGCGGGAGCCUGAUCCAGCCAUGCCGCGUGCAGGAAGAAUGCCCUAUGGGUAGUAAACUGCUUUUAUACGGGAAGAAAAAGGGCUACGUGUAGCCCACUGACGGUACCGUAAGAAUAAGGACCGGCUAACUCCGUGCCAGCAGCCGCGGUAAUACGGAGGGUCCGAGCGUUAUCCGGAAUUAUUGGGUUUAAAGGGUCCGUAGGCGGGCCGAUAAGUCAGGGGUGAAAGUCUGCCGCUCAACGGUAGAAUUGCCUUUGAUACUGUCGGUCUUGAGUUAUGGUGAAGUUGGCGGAAUAUGUAGUGUAGCGGUGAAAUGCAUAGAUAUUACAUAGAACACCGAUUGCGAAGGCAGCUGACUAACCAUCGACUGACGCUGAUGGACGAAAGCGUGGGGAGCGAACAGGAUUAGAUACCCUGGUAGUCCACGCCGUAAACGAUGGAUACUAGCUGUCCGGGUCCUUGAGACCUGGGCGGCCAAGCGAAAGUGAUAAGUAUCCCACCUGGGGAGUACGUUCGCAAGAAUGAAACUCAAG